rnacentral:snoRNA from 1 species
UGCACAUGAUGAUAAUUGUCUUCUUGAUAGGAAGUGCCAACUGACACAUAAAUGAAGCCAAGUUAACCCAACUGAAAAGCA